AAAACUGGCGAAAGUUCUUUCUAGAAAGUGAGUAGUAAGCGAUAAUGAAUAUGAAUCACUACGGAUUAUAAAGUCGCUAUUGAUUGGGUUUGCUUGGUAACGCAAUUCUCGCAAAAUUCACUUUUGAAAAUUGCUACUGAAAACAGCUGGUCGAAAUGCAUCACGAUGAAAUGAAACGAUUGUUCAUCCAAAUAAACAAUUUUAUUGUAUUGAUUCGACGUUGAACUUGUUAACUCGAACGACAUGCCAGACAGAAAAAUAUCAUUCAACAUGUUGUGACAGCAUUAGAUGCUCUUGAAAUAAUGACUCAAUUGAAAUUAGUUGUUGAAGGUCGAUUGAAAGAUAAAUUUCGUUCAUCUGCAUUUCGUGAUGAGAUGGAAAUGAUAAGAGAAUUUCUUCUCGAUUUUGAAGAAAAAGCGCAAAAACGUCCAAAUGGAGAUUGAUGAAGAGGACUUAAAUGACAUUUUUGAAGAAUUUUACAGCGAUUGCAUCGAAUAUUUAUCGUUAUGGAUUGAACCAUUGCUCCCAAUAAAAAUGUGGUCGUGAGCUUCUUUGCGAAAGGUACUCGAAUGGGAAGACGUUCAGCCGUGCGUGGAUGAAUUGAUGAAAAAGAAGUUGUUCGGUGAAUCUGAUGAUCUUAAGGUCCACGCAACGUCAAAUUGAUGAUUGAAAAAUUAUUGCCGAAUUGGGAAAACACGAAAACCACUCCCGAAAACCGACGGAUUGAAGUUCUACAAUUGCUUCGUAGCAAAAAUGUUUCUUUCAACAAGUUUUUCAAAGUGGUUGAAUACGCCAUGGUCAUGCCCGGAACGAGUGCAGUGUGUGAACGAUUAUUUUCAUUGAUAAAGAAUUACUGGACUGACAAGAAAAGUCAGCUGACCAUGGAUACUUUGAACUGCUGGCUAGCAAUCAAACACAAUUGCGGAAUGACUUGCUCGGAGUUCCAUAAAUACAUAUUGACACAACCAGAAUUGCUACAGAAAGUCAAAUCAAGAGAAAAAUAUUAAAAUGAAUAACAUAAAGUAUAAGUUUGAACUGUAUUUUUCUUUUUUUGUCAUUAAAUAUCAUU